AGUGAACGCUGGCGGUAGGCCUAACACAUGCAAGUCGAACGGCAGCACAGGAGAGCUUGCUCUCUGGGUGGCGAGUGGCGGACGGGUGAGGAAUACAUCGGAAUCUACUUUUUCGUGGGGGAUAACGUAGGGAAACUUACGCUAAUACCGCAUACGACCUACGGGUGAAAGCAGGGGACCUUCGGGCCUUGCGCGAUUGAAUGAGCCGAUGUCGGAUUAGCUAGUUGGCGGGGUAAAGGCCCACCAAGGCGACGAUCCGUAGCUGGUCUGAGAGGAUGAUAAGCCCCACUGGAACUGAGACACGGUCCAGACUCCUACGGGAGGCAGCAGUGGGGAAUAUUGGACAAUGGGCGCAGGCCUGAUCCAGCCAUACCGCGUGGGUGAAGAAGGCCUUCGGGUUGUAAAGCCCUUUUGUUGGGAAAGAAAUCCAGCUGGCUAAUACCCGGUUGGGAUGACGGUACCCAAAGAAUAAGCACCGGCUAACUUCGUGCCAGCCGCCGCCGUAA
rnacentral:rRNA from 1 species